UUGUCGGUGUGUGUGUGUGUGUGUUGUGUGUGUGUGUGUGUGUUGUCGGUGUGUGUGUGUGUGUGUUGUCGGUGUGUGUGUGUGUGUGUUGUCGUGUGUGUGUGUGUGUGUGUUGUCGGUGUGUGUGUGUGUGUGUGUGUGUGUGUGUGUGUGUGUGUGUGUGUGUGUGUGUGUGUUGUCGGUGUGUGUGUGUGUGUUGUCGGUGUGUGUGUGUGUGUGUUGUCGGUGUGUGUGUGUGUGUGUGUUUGUCGUGUGUGUGUGUGUGUGUUGUCGGUGUGUGUGUGUGUGUGUGUGUGUUGUGUGUGUGUGUGUUGUCUGUGUGUGUGUGUUGUCGGUGUGUGUGUGUGUGUUGUCGGUGUGUGUGUGUGUGUUGUCGGUGUGUGUGUGUGUGUGUGUGUGUGUGUGUGUGUGUGUGUGUGUUGUCGUGUGUGUGUGUGUGUGUGUGUGUGUGUGUGUGUGUGUGUGUGUGUGUGUGUGUGUUGUCGGUGUGUGUGUGUGUGUUGUGUGUGUGUGUGUGUGUGUGUGUGUGUGUUCGGUGUGUGUGUGUGUGUGUGUUGUGUGUGUGUGUGUGUGUGUUGUCUGUGUGUGUGUGUGUGUGUUGUCGUGUGUGUGUGUGUGUGUGUGUGUGUUGUGUGUGUGUGUGUGUGUGUGUGUGUGUGUGUGUGUGUUGUCGGUGUGUGUGUGUGUGUGUGUG
rnacentral:lncRNA from 1 species